GACGAACGCUGGCGGCGUGCCUAAUACAUGCAAGUCGAGCGAGACUCGUCGGAGUCUAGCGGCGGACGGGUGAGUAACACGUGGGCAACCUGCCUGUAAGACUGGGAUAACACCGGGAAACCGGUGCUAAUACGGGAUAAUCCUUUUCCUCUCAUGAGGAAAAGCUGAAAGUCGGUUUCGGCUGACACUUACAGAUGGGCCCGCGGGGAAUUAGCUAGUUGGUGAGGUAACGGCUCACCAAGGCGACGAUGCGUAGCCGACCUGAGAGGGUGAUCGGCCACACUGGGACUGAGACACGGCCCAGACUCCUACGGGAGGCAGCAGUAGGGAAUCUUCCACAAUGGACGAAAGUCUGAUGGAGCAACGCCGCGUGAGCGAUGAAGGCCUUCGGGUCGUAAAGCUCUGUUGUUAGGGAAGAACAAGUACCGGAGUAACUGCCGGUACCUUGACGGUACCUAACCAGAAAGCCACGGCUAACUACGUGCCAGCCGCCGCCGUAA
rnacentral:rRNA from 1 species